AUGGGGGUGGCGGCUGGAUCUGGACAGCAAGGGCGGCAGAUUAAAGAGAGACAAAGAAGCCCUGGUCUAGAGAUGAUGCUCCUCAUCGCGCUGUCGAAGCACCAAGAACCACGUCCAGGUCAUGGGGCCGUUGAUGGGAGAUCGACAUCUUACCUGGGCACUGCUCCUGCACGCCGGCGUCAUGGCCAAGCAAGGCCUGCUGGUAAUUUCGUUCCCCUUUCAUAUUUGGGUCAGCAGCGGCUGCUUGAGGGUGUACAGUUCCAGAUGAUAGCCCUUUUCCCCUUAAUUUUUUGCACUAACCUCUUCUCUAUACUACAUGUGCUUCAUGGUGAAAAGCGAGGACAGCAAUUUGACAGUUAUAAUAUGUGUAGGUGCAUAUAUGAGUAG
rnacentral:rRNA from 1 species